UUCGAAAAUUUUGAUAAAACUCUAUCCCCAUCAUUUUAAAGUGUUAAUGUAUUCCCAGACAUACAUGUGUCUAUACACACCCCGAUCCAGGAUAUAACCUUCGCUAAUAACUAUCUCUGUAUGCGCAUGCUCCAACUUACAGACUGCAAUUGACAAAGGAAUAUAGUUCAUAUUUUGAUCGAAUAAAGGCUUUCUAAAUAAUAGUAUAUUUAGCUUGAAAUAUAUAAUUAUCAAGAAAAAGUAGACAUAUUAACUAUACAUGUAUACACACGCACAUUUAACGAUAUGACACACCAUUCAUCAACGCUAUUGCCUUCCUACCAAUGACCACCACCACUGACUUCCUAACAAUAGCUGUGAUUUAUACGAGACAAUCUUUAGAUGAAUCCCUGAAAGGAUGGACAGCUAAGUUGAUCUCAGUGGAAUUUAAACUCAUAAUGUAAAGACAGACGAAAUGCCACUAAGCAUUUUGCUUGGCAUGCUAAUGAUUCUGCCAGCUCACUGCCUUAACACCAAUUAUAAUUGAAAAUCAAUUAUAUGUAACACAAAUUAAAAUCAAAACAGUCUGAAAGGAUUGAUUUUCAUAACAAUAUGGAGCAAGAGACAGAAGAAACGUAUAGACACAGUGAUAUUGUUAACAUUUCGAUUAAAAAAACUGAAACAUCUAUUGAAAUUAACACUGAGUCUGAAAGGAUUGAUUUUCCUAGUAAGACACUGCAAGAAAAAGGAGAAACAUCUACUCACAGUGAUAACUUUAGUAUGUCAAUCUCUCAAGCAAGUCCCAGAACUGCUCACACUACAGGAGAGAAGCCAUAUCAUUGUGAUGUCUGUGGUAAAUCAUUUUCUAAAGUGUAUGCCCUAACUAAACACAUACGUGUACACACAGGCGAGAAACCAUAUCGUUGUGAUGUCUGUGGUAAAUUGUCCUCUACAAAGAGUGGCUUAGAUGUACACAACCGCAUUCACACUGGUGAAAAACCAUAUCAAUGUGAUGUUUGUGGGAGAUCGUUUUCUGGAAGAAGUAAUUUAACAAAACACAAACAUAUUCAUACAGGAAAGAAGCCAUAUCCCUGUGAUAUUUGUAGCAAAUCAUUCACUGAAAGAAAUGCCUUAACUGUACACAAAAGCACUCAUACAGGAGAAAAGCCAUUUCAGUGUGAUAUUUGUGGUAAAUCAUUCUCUCAUGUUGAUCUCUUAACUAUGCAUAAAAGCAUUCAUACAGGGGAAACACCAUAUCAUUGUGAUAUUUGUGGUAAAUUAUUCUCUCGAAGUGGUGAUUUAACUACUCACAUACGUGUUCAUACAGGAGAGAAACCACAUCACUGUGAUAUCUGUGGUAAAACAUUCUCUCAUAGUAAUGCCUUAACUAUACACAAACGCAUGCAUACAGGAGAGAAACCAUAUUCUUGUGAUAUUUGUGGUAAAUCAUUCACUUCAAAGAGUAAAGUAACAGUACACAAACGCAUUCAUACAGGAGAGAAACCAUAUCACUGUGAUAUCUGUGGUAAAUCAUUCUCCCAAAGUAGUGACUUAACUACUCACAAAUAUAUUCAUACUGGUGACACACCAUAUCACUGUGAUAUCUGUGGUAAAUCAUUCUCUAGAAGAGGACACUUAACUACUCACAAGUAUAUUCAUACUGGGGGAAAACCUUAUCUGUGUGAUGUGUGUGGUAAAGCUUUUGCCUUACGUAGUGAUUUAACUAUACACAUACGCACUCACACAGGAGAAAAGCCAUAUCACUGUGACAUUUGUGGUAAAUCAUUCUCUCAAAGUAGUGACUUAAAUACACACAAACGCAUUCAUACUGGGGAGAGGCCAUAUCCCUGUGAUAUCUGUGGUAAAUCAUUCUGUCGAAAAAGUGGCUUAACUAAACACGAACAUAUUCAUACACGAGAUAAACCAUAAUUCUGUGAUAUCUAUGGUGAAUCAUUCAUUAGAAAGUAUGUUACAUAGGAAAUGUUGAAUAAUGAAAAGAGCUCACAACAGAGAUGGUUUCUUGCAGUAGAGAAGCUAUGUAGCUAGUCACAUUAUAAAUGGGUGGAGUGACUGGGAUGGAAAUGGAAAGGGAAAUAAAAUAGUGAUGAUUAAGUGUUAGGGUGGAACUUUAAGGUAUGAGGUGAGUUGAAGGGAUGCGGACAGAUGAACUGGGAGAACAACUGUUGAGGGAUGAUAAAUGUAUGUUAGAUAAAAGGUAGGCAAUGACUAUAGAAAUUGAGUAAUAUUGAGGUGGGUGGAUGUAGUGAAAUUUCUAUAGUCAUUGCCUACCUUUUAUCUAACAUACAUUUAUCAUCCCUCAAUGAUACAUAUAUGUUCAGGCGAAGUAGGUGUAGAGAGAGAGAUGACAAAUAGUACAGAAAAUAGUGAAGAGCAAAACAAUAAUAAUAAUGAUAUAAUAGACAGGGUAAGGAUGAAUGAAAGAGAGAUUACAUGUGCUUGGGUAGUCAACAAGGGAAGCAAGUGUAGUUUAUUGGGGGAUCGAGGAGUGUAUGGUGGUGUAUAAAAUGAGAUAAUUUAUUUGCACAGAAGGGUGGUCCAUAUAAAAUGUGGGUAGCGAAGGACAGUGUUAAGCACAAACAAUGGAUAUCAAAUGAAUUGGUUCUGAUUAAUACAAAAGGUAAAUGGUAUGAGGGUAAAGCUGCUGAGGUAUGUAGUUCUGCUCAUGUUUAAUUACAGCAACUGAAUGCUGCUGCUGGUUGUUAGGUAGUUGAUAGGAGGGUUAGUGAUCAAGAGAUGAUGGGUGGUGGGGAUGGCCUGUAGAGGAAAUUGGAAGUGAAUUCUAUGUAUCUGCCUCAGGUUCUAAAAGCUACCAUCUCUAAGGAAACCAGUUGUAUUAUAUAUAUAUACUAGAUUACCCAAGCCAUCAAUAAUGAUAGUGGGUGUUGUACUAAACUUUGUAAUAAUUAUCACAUUUUGACUUGUAUGAGUGAAUAUAAAAUUUUUCUUAUUGGAUAUAUAUAUAUAUAUAUAUAUAUAUAUAUAUAUAUAUAUAUAUAUAUACAUAUAUAUAUAUAUAUAUAGUAUUGAAAAUUGUGCAUGAUGAAUGUUGCUAGUUUGAGUAUGAGAACAUCAAUAAAAAUGCCAAAAUAACUAGUAACGAAGAAAAUUAUUCUCCAGAUAUACAGGUUUUGAUUACUUUUAAUAUGUAUAUGUCAUAGUCAAUGAUUCACUCGUUAUUCUACAUUGUCAUUUUCUAUAAUAAAUGCUAUACCUAAUUUCACAAAUGUUCUAUAUGUAUUCAAAGCUACUAUAAUAUUUGCAUAUUUACCCAUGAGUACAUGAUCUUACAAACAGGUUACAUACAAUUUCUAGAGGUUUUCAAAGGACAGAAGGUUUAGCUUAAGCAAAAUCAGCACAUUUACAAUAUCUAUGCCACAUUCUGUGCAAGAGCUACAAAGGUAUAUUAUAAUCACUGUUAUUCACAUUCACUGCUAAAGUUCCUGAACAUUAAUAUUUCUUAUAUAGAUAUGAGGAAGUAUCAAAACAGCUUCGCCUUCUAAAUUUUCAACCUGUUAUUAAAAUAUUUCUGUUUUUUGUUCCACUUAAAUAAAGUGUAAAUAGGCUAGAGUUGAAUACAUGAUAACUUUCAGUACGUUGACUAUAAAAGGUAGUAGUGGAAGAUAUGAAAUAAAAUGUUUGACAAUAAAAUGACUAUAAAUACAAAUACGUAUAGCAUAUUAAAUAUAUAUUGUUGACACAUAGCAUAUUUCAUAUAUUGAUUAGAUUUACUAGUGAGAAAAAGGAGAAAAUAUGAUCAGAAUUUAUGAACAUAAAAAUAUUAGUUGACUAUUGUGAAACAAAGAAGAACAGAAUGAAUUUCUGAAUACAAAAAAAUAAACAUAAUGACUCUAGCCGAUAUCAAGUGAGACGAGCUCAACAGCUUCAAAUAAAGUUAUACAGACAAAUGACACAAAACAAGGUUAUGUCUCGGCUCCAGUUGUUGCACUAUUUUUCUCAGUGGUGCUCAAGUAUACCUUUAGUGAAAACAACACAGGUGUUAAAUUCCAAAUUUGGACUAGUGGUGGAUUCUUCAACCAUCAACAGUUCAAAGCUGAUCACAUAAUCAUUCAAGAUUUUUUUCACUGAUGAUACUGCUCCUGUAGAAACAUCUCUUUCUUGAGGAAGGCCAGAAAAUGUAAAUCACUUUCUCUGUAGCAAGCAAAUCUCUCAGGCUUACCAUCAGCAGGGGGAAAAAAUGCGGUGAUCCACCAGUUGUGCUCUAUGCCCAAAGAAAUAUGAGGUGCAAAACAAAAUCCACCAUUUCCCAGACACCCAUAUAAAGGUUGACAAAAAGGAUCUCAUGUAUGUGAAAUCAUUCACAAAUCUUGAUUAUAUGGUGAGUUCAAAUGCCUCUGCUGAUGAGAUAAUCAAUCAUAUAGGGAAAGCUACCAGUGCAUUUGGCAAACUUCAUUAUUGCCUAUAGAAUGAGAGGGAUAUAAAAGUAGACACAAAGAUACAGGUCUACAAAGCUGUUGUACUGACCAAACUUAAGAAUUAGAAUCUUAGACUACAUAUAGAUUGCACAUCAACCAACUAGACAUCUUUGAUGAACGUUCUCUUCAGACGAUUUGUGGUUACACUCUAGGGGGCAAAAUAUCAAAUCCCAACCUCUUCAUAUAGUGUAAAACUAGAAACUGAAAUUUUUCUUAUGCAAUUACAACUAUGCUGGGCUGGUCAUGUCAUCAGAAUGACUAACAAAAGAAUACCUAAAGUUUUCAUGUAUAGCCAGUUUGAUAAUAUACACAAAUGUUGGACAACCAUGGCUCAAGUACAGCUGAAGAGUUAUCUUUCAACAAUCGAUAUACCUACACAGUAUUUGUAGAAAAUUUUGUUAAAAAGUAUUCAUAUUUCUGGAUGUUAUGAAGUAACAAAGUCGGGGACGUAUACAUCUGUAGUAAUGUCCUUUUAUUUAUACAAUUUUUUCAUUUCAUGUUUAUUUCAUUCAUUCUUUGCAAUGUUCUCUCCCUCACACACACACACUUACAGAUGGGCUGCUGAACUGAAAUCUCUAUGUUGCUUUGAGGGGAAGGUAAAACUUAACAAACUGCUUCCACCUCUGGUAACUCCUACUCAAACCAAAACUUUUGACACUCUAAAACAUGAGCUUUCUAAAGCAUGUCUCAUUGCACACCCGAUGCAAAGCUUUCGCUUGUGGUUGAUGCUUCAGACACUGCAACUAGUUCUGUUUUACAGCAAUUUCAUCAGCAACAUUUGCAAACCUCUUACUUUUGCUUUGCAGUCCAAGCCAGAAAAGUACUCACCAAGUAAGACUAGAUACCUUCACUUUAUAUUACAUUUCACCAAUGAUAUUCAACACAUCUCUGAUGCACAAAACACUGCUGCAGAUGCAUUGUCCUAUUUGCCAAUUCUUUAGUAUCCGCUGUGGAUAUUGUCCUGAAUAUUUUGUCUGUUGAGCAACCCCCUCUAGACUCAAAAUAAGAUAACUUCUGAAUUUGCGAUGUGCAAAUUCAAAUACUUGCUUGUGCAAACCUCUGACAGGCAGAUCCUGUGUGAUAUAUCAACAGAUUUGCCUUGUCCCUUCAUCAUAGAGACCCAUAGACGAGCUUUUUUUUGAAGCCCUGCAUAAUCUAUCACAUCCUGGAGCCUCAGUGAAGCACACUACAGCUAGAUUUUUCUGGCUGAAAAUGAGAUGUGACAUCACUGACUACUCUUGAAUUUGCUUCCACUGCCAAAAGUCAAAGGUGCAUAAACACAUUCGUGCACCCAUGGCACCUUCAGCACACUAGAUGCACAUUUCCGCCACAUCCACAUUGUCUUGUUGGACCCUGGCCAAUCAGACUGUAUAUAUAUGAACUUACCCUAAGUGUCUGUCAUUUUCUCAUUUUUAUAUAUUUGCCUUUUCUUGCAUAUGUAAUAUUGCUUUUCCUGAUGUAUUCAUGUUUUUCCCCAGUUUGCACAUUUUCUUCUGCGUUUUCUCUUUGACGUUAGAUACAGAUGCAGGUAAGAAUACACACACAGUCCCACACAUGUAUAAGCCCAUGGACAUGGUUAUAAAAUCAAAAAAUAACAGUACUCAUGACUUUAGGAAACGCUUUUUCACGCCUAGAAAUACUGAAGCAGAGAAUAAACCAACGGCAUCAGUCGUUAGCUGCCAGGUCACUACAUCCUUCCAAAUUUCCACGCUCCCCAAACUUCGCCAACACUGCACUUGAUAUUCCUUUUUUUUUUUUUAAAUUUAAUAACUCAUUCACUUGUCUGACUUUUUAUACAUUACUAGUGGAAGUUCUAUGCCCAUGUACUGUACAUGCAUUUUUGGUUACCUUUUCUGAUGGGUUGUAGUGUACUGGGCGUCUAAGUUUAUUAUUAUUAUAUGUACACGUGCUCAUACACACACCAAUACAAGACUGUAAACAUCUCUAUGCGCAUGCUCCGACUUCAGUCUGCCAUGAAAAGAAAACGAAGUUAAUAUUUUGAUCGAAUAAAGGCUUUCUAAAGAAUAGUAUAUUUGGCUUGAAACACAAUUAUCAAAACAAAAGUAGACAUAUUAACCUACGAUGCAUAUACAUACUCACACAUAACGAUAAAUGUAUAUAACAAUAAGACUUUCCAUUGAUCAACGCCACUGCCUUCCUACUAAUGACUGAUUUAUACAAGGCGGUGCUCCUGCAUGGCCGCAGUCAAAUGAUUGAAACAAGUAAAAGAAUACACACAUGGACUCACUUGGUGCGAGGUUUUAAAAUUUACAAUUUCAAUUUUUUUGCUGUUACUUAAAUCCAAGCAAUGCAUCGUCCUUCAGCCAAACAAAACCUUUGUGGUACAUCCGCAUCAUCAUUCGGUAAAAUGUGUUUAUGCGGGCAAAAUAUUGAAAAACACCAAUACAUAUCAGAGUGACAAAGAAACGAGGAAGGUACUACAUGGUCGUGGAUGGCUAGAAACAACAGCUAAGUCGCCCUUAAGUCAUCACCUUUCCAUCUGAAAAUGAAGGUCGCGAUGGAAAGUGAUAUGCCCUAAUGAAAAAUAGUUGGGAUGUGUCUGAGAUAUAACUAUAGGGGUGUGUGGGGGAAAAUGUGUAAUUUCUAAUUUCUUGUUAUUUUCUCUCUGUCUGUUUGAAACCGUUACAUUGCAAGUAUUAUAUCAUCAUUUUAUAUAUUGUUGCAUCAUUGGGAUUUAAAAUUGGUUAGUAUAGUUAUUGUUAAAGCUAAGAGGGUUUGAAACAGUCAGGUGACAGGUAGUUUUUUUUUUCAAAUUUUCCCUCAACUUUGUCCUGAUUGUAAUUGAGGAUAAUUUUUAAUGUUUAACAAUGAAUAUUCUUUUUUUCUGUUUUAUUUCAAGUCAAUUUUUCCAGCACUAAUGUCUAAUUUGAUCAUUUUCAAUUUUCACAAUACUUGUGCUGGUGACACAUAAAAGGCAUCUGUUACACUCUUGAAGCAGUUGGCGAUAGGAAUGGAAUCCAACCAUAGAAACCAAGCCAAACCAGACUGGGACUUGGUGUAGCUUUCAGGUUUACUAGUUUUAGUCAAACUGUCUAACCACACCUUUAAAUUCUUCUCUUUCCCCACAGUUUAUUACUGAAGUUUAACAUAUAUAAUAUUACAUAGUCUCAAAUUGUAGCUGUAAUCUUUAAAUAUGUAGACUUCACACAAGGUUGUAUGAAGUAAUUUUAAUAGAAAAUUAUAAAGUAAAUGUUAAUUGAUCAUGUAAAAGAUUGUAUUUAUGAUAUAUUGAUAUUUUCUGCUGGUGAAUCUCUAUGUUUAAGUAUCUUGUGUAUCUUAUACUAUUUC